UACGAAGGGGGCUAGCGUUGCUCGGAAUCACUGGGCGUAAAGCGCACGUAGGCGGAUUGCUAAGUCAGGGGUGAAAUCCUGGAGCUCAACUCCAGAACUGCCUUUGAUACUGGCGAUCUUGAGUCCGGGAGAGGUGAGUGGAACUGCGAGUGUAGAGGUGAAAUUCGUAGAUAUUCGGAGGAACACCAGAAGCGAAGGCGGCCAACUGGCCCGAUACUGACGCUGAGGCGCGAAAGCGUGGGGAGCAAACAGG
rnacentral:rRNA from 1 species